AUUCUCCACAGACUGCCCCUUCUUUCUUGGUCAACCCCAUAUCUUCAGAGAAGGCUAUGAUAACAGGAAGUGUACAUCAUUAAGAAAAAAGGAGAACACUGUCCUCUCCAGCAGAGGCAGUCAAGACACUACCAAUGAGCCACACACACUGCCAAGGGGUGCCGUGCCCCACCCAGCGCCCGAGGUGCCUGCACUUACCUGGAGAGCCGUACUCAUGCCGGGGCAGGCGGCAGAUCUUGGGCAUCACCUCCAUCAGCGUCUUCACGUACUGCAGGAUUGUGCCUUGCAGCUGGGAGAGAGACUGUGUCAGCCACUGGCCUCCAUUCUCCUGGAAAGCUGUGGCUGUCACACAUUCUGAAAAAUCCAGUCUGUUAGCAAAAUGCACAUUAAAGACCACAACUGCAGGAUUAUUGGCUGAGGAAUGAAAUCCCACCUGUGCAAAGAGCAACCUGCACUAGGGGUCUACACAGCUGACAUUUAUGCUCUGAACAACUUCCCUUCCAAGAUGAACGUGGUCCUUAGGUGUGACGGAGGAGGGCAGGAAAUGUGUCUCCUAUGUAAAUGCAUCAAACACUGGGAGCACCUGCAGCUCCAGGGAAUGACGGCUCUUGGAGGACAGGUUCUGGACCCUCUUAUGGUUCUGACACAGCUUCAAGGCUUUAACAUAUGGCUCAGUCAUGAGUUCAGUCAUGACAGAUUCUCACUAUGUUGCCCAGGGUGGUCCCAAACUCCAGGGCUCGAGCAAUCCUUCUGCCUCAGCCUCCAGAGUAGCUGAGACUACAACCUGUGCCACUGCACCCAGUGGAUCCAUUUUCUUGAAUUAGGAAAGAUGAGGAAGAAAUUAAAGUAUCGAAGUGUUCAAAGUUAAAUUGAAUCAUUUGUCUGUUAGAGACUCGCAGUCCAGAUACAGAGAGAAGACUCCCCAGCUGGCUCUACCCCAGUAAAUUCAUGCCCUGGGAAGGAAACUCCUCUGAGGGAAACUCACCAGGCUCUUGACAACCUUCAGCAGCUCUUCCAUGACCACCGCAAUGCCCUGGUAGCCCAGCAGCCGGCAGAUGACUUGAAAGUGUGGAGGUCCCACAAAGUUCCGGUAGCUGCCAUAAAUGCUGGAGUAGGCAAGGUUCAAAGCCUGGGGAAGAGGGGACAGAGUUUUCAACAUGGUCUCUGUGCAGAUGAAAAUCCACUAUGUGAAGAUGCAUUCUGCACGCACAACCCUGAGGUGAAGGGAUUCAGUGACUUUUCUUGUAAAAUACACUGUCCCUACUGGUAUGGAGGUCUUCAACCUGUUAAGAAAAGCAAACCUACUAAAAUAGAGCCCAAGGACAGUGGAAGCCAUGCUCCUAGGGAAGGCACAGGGUACCAGGAACUAGGGAGAGCAGUCCCCCUAGGUAGAAGGUGAGAAAGCAAUGAGAGCAUUUCAUGGAGGGGACCUCUAAGCUCACCGACAAUGUGCGUGUACAGAGCAGGAUGGCC